rnacentral:rRNA from 1 species
CAAAAUCCUAGCCCCACCAUGCCGCCAGGCCCGAGUUGGGCAGACCUGCUACCGGAGCUUGUCUGCCGCAUCGCCGACGGCCUUGACGACCUCAAGUGCUACGCGAGUGCGCGGGGCGCUUGCAGGACAUGGCGUCACACGCUCGUGCUACCAUCACCGUCGCUGCUCGUUGACCACGGCGACGAUCCUUCCAAGCGUUGCACCACCGCUGCCAUCAAGCGUCGUACCACCGCGGCCUCAAUCCCCACGCGUCGCUCCUUCGAGCUCAACGCCAUCCCUUCAGGCAAGACCUGUCUCGGCUGUUGUAGCGGAUGGCUCGCCCUAUCCGUCCGCAUCGACGAUGUUCAUAGCCUGCUCAGCCUCUUCCACCCCAUCACGGCCGCCGAGAUCCUCCUACCCCCGCUUGUCUACGACAGCCGCCUCGUCUCCAAGAUUGUCUUCGCGCCCAACCCUGCCACUAAUGACUUCAUGGCCGUUGUGAUCUAUGACAUCGAUAGGGUUUCCUACGUUACCGCAGGGGCCAGGAGGUGGGCCGUCCUCGACCCCAUUCGCCUCGCCGUUGGAGACCAGCUCGCCGACCUCCUCUACCAUGGAAAUGGUAGGGUCUACUGCCUCACUCGGUUUGGAGAUGUCCAUGUGCUCCUCCUACCGCAGCGCUGCCGCCGGGAACCUAUCAUCCUCGAGGGGCCCACAUCAACAUAUCCUGCGGUGCAUAAUAGGCAAAUCAUCGAGAUGCAUGGGAUAGGACCGGAUCUAAAUGCGCCGGCCACCAUUGAGACGUUGUUCUCGUCUGUGAGAAGCAACCUAUCAUUCGAUGACGACGCCGGUUUCGCCCCGCCAUACAACACAAUCUCGGCUUUCACUAGUGUCAAGAACCUGGUGUUCUGUGAUGGUAACCUGUACCAAAUCUGGAGGAAUGCGUCCUGCAUUGUUACUUUGCAGCUGCCAGAAGGGGGUCGAUGCCGUGUAGCGCAUGAUGAGAUAUUUGUUCUGAGGUAUGACCCCCAGCGCCAACCAUGUUGGGACGUUGUGGCCGACUUAGGGGGAUAUUCAGUGUUUAUUGGGAGGAACAAUUCAGUGUCGAUAUAUGCGGAAGGCAUGCCGGGACUUAAGGGUGAUUGUGUGUACUGGAUUGGUGGGAGAGGUAGGGAUCAGGGCAUGGUCUUUGACAUGAAGACUGGCAGCUCAACACCUUGCAUUCCCCUCGUGGAUGGUGUUCUUCUGGGGUCUCCACAAAGCACAAUAUGCUGGUACUUUCUAAGCGAC